rnacentral:rRNA from 2 species
CUACGGGAGGCAGCAGUAGGGAAUCUUCCGCAAUGGACGAAAGUCUGACGGAGCAACGCCGCGUGAGUGAUGAAGGUUUUCGGAUCGUAAAGCUCUGUUGUUAGGGAAGGACAAGUGCGAGAGUAACUGCUCGCACCUUGACGGUACCUAACCAGAAAGCCACGGCUAACUACGUGCCAGCAGCCGCGGUAAUACGUAGGUGGCAAGCGUUGUCCGGAAUUAUUGGGCGUAAAGGGCUCGCAGGCGGUUUCUUAAGUCUGAUGUGAAAGCCCCCGGCUCAACCGGGGAGGGUCAUUGGAAACUGGGAAACUUGAGUGCAGAAGAGGAGAGUGGAAUUCCACGUGUAGCGGUGAAAUGCGUAGAGAUGUGGAGGAACACCAGUGGCGAAGGCGACUCUCUGGUCUGUAACUGACGCUGAGGAGCGAAAGCGUGAGGAGCGAACAGGAUUAGAUACCCUGGUAGUCCACGCCGUAAACGAUGAGUGCUAAGUGUUAGGGGGUUUCCGCCCCUUAGUGCUGCAGCUAACGCAUUAAGCACUCCGCCUGGGGAGUACGGUCGCAAGACUGAAACUCAAAGGAAUUGACGG